AGACAGUCAUCGAGAAAUUGCGGACAGAGGUCUGGAACGUGGUCUUUCCUCACUGUCCUCAGAGAGAACCAACCCCACCAGCAUUUUGAUCUUGGGCUUCUAGAGCCCAGAAUGGUGAGAAAACACAUGUCUGUUGUUUAAGCCACCCAGCUCAUGAUUACAAGCAGUCCCAGCAAACUGAUAGUAUCAAGAAUUAUAAGUCAUUACUUACACAUUUGCGGUUUAGGAUUUUGGAGGUAGCUGCCCGAACAUCUAAAGAUAGAUAUGGUUAAAAAGCACCCGUUUCAGGACUGAGCUGAGGGAGACAGUGGAUGUUUACUUUCCAUUUAAUGUGUCCUUGAUCAUUUCCAUCUCUAGCCUGUGUUU